rnacentral:misc_RNA from 1 species
AAGUCGUAACAAGGUUUCCGUAGGUGAACCUGCGGAAGGAUCAUUAACAAAUGCAACAUUUGUUGAAACCCACACAUUUUCUGUUGCUUCCCCCUGGGGAAACCCAAGGGGAGGUAUUCAUAAACGCUAUUUAUUUAUUUAUUUAUUUCCUUCUUUGGAAUCUGUCUGAAACUUGGUAAAAUAUUAAAACUUUCAACAACGGAUCUCUUGGUUCUCC